UACGGGAGGCAGCAGUAGGGAAUCUUCCACAAUGGACGCAAGUCUGAUGGAGCAACGCCGCGUGAGUGAAGAAGGGUUUCGGCUCGUAAAGCUCUGUUGUUAAAGAAGAACGUGGGUAAGAGUAACUGUUUACCCAGUGACGGUAUUUAACCAGAAAGCCACGGCUAACUACGUGCCAGCAGCCGCGGUAAUACGUAGGUGGCAAGCGUUAUCCGGAUUUAUUGGGCGUAAAGCGAGCGCAGGCGGUCUUUUAAGUCUAAUGUGAAAGCCUUCGGCUCAACCGAAGAAGUGCAUUGGAAACUGGGAGACUUGAGUGCAGAAGAGGACAGUGGAACUCCAUGUGUAGCGGUGAAAUGCGUAGAUAUAUGGAAGAACACCAGUGGCGAAGGCGGCUGUCUGGUCUGCAACUGACGCUGAGGCUCGAAAGCAUGGGUAGCGAACAGGAUUAGAUACCCUGGUAGUCCAUGCCGUAAACGAUGAUUACUAAGUGUUGGAGGGUUUCCGCCCUUCAGUGCUGCAGCUAACGCAUUAAGUAAUCCGCCUGGGGAGUACGACCGC
rnacentral:rRNA from 1 species